AUGAUGCCAGUGAGACUACUAGGAAUAAUUGUGGCAAAGUUCAAGAUGUGGAGAAAAUUAUUUCUAAGAGACCCCAAUCAUCAAGGUAUGCCUCUAAAUGUGCCAAUCUGGGUGAUGACCCAUCUGAUCUCCCAUAUUUUAAAAUCACAUAUGUAUUUCUAUCACAAGGCCCCGAUAUGCGAAAGAGGUGUAGUAUUACAUACCUGA